CGUAUCACUUAAAGCGAUUCAGCGGGUUACGAUUGACGGAGCGAAGCGACGUCAAAGCGUAUACAAAGUCGAGUCGGUUUAAGGAUACGUUCGUUGGGUAGGGGAGCGUUCUGUAAGCCUGUGAAGGUGGCCUGUGAGGGUUGCUGGAGGUAUCAGAAGUGCGAAUGCUGACAUAAGUAACGAUAAAGCGGGUGAAAAGCCCGCUCGCCGGAAGACCAAGGGUUCCUGUCCAACGUUAAUCGGGGCAGGGUGAGUCGACCCCUAAGGCGAGGCCGAAAGGCGUAGUCGAUGGGAAACGGGUUAAUAUUCCCGUACUUGGUGUUACUGCGAAGGGGGGACGGAGAAGGCUAUGUUGGCCGGGCGACGGUUGUCCCGGUUUAAGCGUGUAGGUGUGUGUUCCAGGUAAAUCCGGUUCACUUUAACACUGAGGCGUGACGACGAGGCACUACGGUGCUGAAGCAACAAAUGCCCUGCUUCCAGGAAAAGCCUCUAAGCAUCAGGUAACAUCAAAUCGUACCCCAAACCGACACAGGUGGUCAGGUAGAGAAUACCAAGGCGCUUGAGAGAACUCGGGUGAAGGAACUAGGCAAAAUGGUGCCGUAACUUCGGGAGAAGGCACGCUGACAUGUAGGUGAAGUGAUUUACUCAUGGAGCUGAAGUCAGUCGAAGAUACCAGCUGGCUGCAACUGUUUAUUAAAAACACAGCACUGUGCAAACACGAAAGUGGACGUAUACGGUGUGACGCCUGCCCGGUGCCGGAAGGUUAAUUGAUGGGGUCAGCGCAAGCGAAGCUCCUGAUCGAAGCCCCGGUAAACGGCGGCCGUAACUAUAACGGUCCUAAGGUAGCGAAAUUCCUUGUCGGGUAAGUUCCGACCUGCACGAAUGGCGUAAUGAUGGCCAGGCUGUCUCCACCCGAGACUCAGUGAAAUUGAACUCGCUGUGAAGAUGCAGUGUACCCGCGGCAAGACGGAAAGACCCCGUGAACCUUUACUAUAGCUUGACACUGAACAUUGAGCCUUGAUGUGUAGGAUAGGUGGGAGGCUUUGAAGUGUGGACGCCAGUCUGCAUGGAGCCGACCUUGAAAUACCACCCUUUAAUGUUUGAUGUUCUAACGUGGACCCGUGAUCCGGGUUGCGGACAGUGUCUGGUGGGUAGUUUGACUGGGGCGGUCUCCUCCUAAAGAGUAACGGAGGAGCACGAAGGUUGGCUAAUCCUGGUCGGACAUCAGGAGGUUAGUGCAAUGGCAUAAGCCAGCUUGACUGCGAGCGUGACGGCGCGAGCAGGUGCGAAAGCAGGUCAUAGUGAUCCGGUGGUUCUGAAUGGAAGGGCCAUCGCUCAACGGAUAAAAGGUACUCCGGGGAUAACAGGCUGAUACCGCCCAAGAGUUCAUAUCGACGGCGGUGUUUGGCACCUCGAUGUCGGCUCAUCACAUCCUGGGGCUGAAGUAGGUCCCAAGGGUAUGGCUGUUCGCCAUUUAAAGUGGUACGCGAGCUGGGUUUAGAACGUCGUGAGACAGUUCGGUCCCUAUCUGCCGUGGGCGCUGGAGAACUGAGGGGGGCUGCUCCUAGUACGAGAGGACCGGAGUGGACGCAUCACUGGUGUUCGGGUUGUCAUGCCAAUGGCACUGCCCGGUAGCUAAAUGCGGAAGAGAUAAGUGCUGAAAGCAUCUAAGCACGAAACUUGCCCCGAGA
rnacentral:rRNA from 1 species